rnacentral:rRNA from 1 species
AUUGAACGCUGGCGGCAGGCCUAACACAUGCAAGUCGAGCGGCAGCGGGAAAGUAGCUUGCUACUUUUGCCGGCGAGCGGCGGACGGGUGAGUAAUGCCUGGGAAAUUGCCCAGUCGAGGGGGAUAACAGUUGGAAACGACUGCUAAUACCGCAUACGCCCUACGGGGGAAAGCAGGGGACCUUCGGGCCUUGCGCGAUCGGAUAUGCCCAGGUGGGAUUAGCUAGUUGGUGAGGUAAUGGCUCACCAAGGCGACGAUCCCUAGCUGGUCUGAGAGGAUGAUCAGCCACACUGGAACUGAGACACGGUCCAGACUCCUACGGGAGUCAGCAGUGGGGAAUAUUGCACAAUGGGGGAAACCCUGAUGCAGCCAUGCCGCGUGUGUGAAGAAGGCCUUCGGGUUGUAAAGCACUUUCAGCGAGGAGGAAAGGUUGAUGCCUAAUACGCAUCAACUGUGACGUUACUCGCAGAAGGAGCACCGGCUAACUCCGUGCCAGCCGCCGCCGUAA